GGAAAAGUGUUACUAACGCUGAGGCAAUUCCAGAGGCAAUUCAGAGCCUUAUAAACAAGGGUUAUUUAGUAUCUCCUUUCUCCAUCAAGAAAGCUAGCAAUGCUGAAGAGAAGCAUUUGACCAGAGCCCAUGAAUACGCUGACCACAAGGAUAAACCAGCCCAUGAAUCAGAAAAUUUACCAGUUCUCCCCUACGCUGACCACAAUGAUAAACCAACCCAUGAAUCAAAAAAUUUACCAGCCCAUGAAUCAGAAAAUUUACGCUUUUUCCCCUACACUGACCACAAGGAUAAACCAACCCAUGAAUCAGGAAAUUUACCAGCCCAUGAAUCAGAAAUUUUACACUUUUUUGUCUACGAUGAUCACAAGGAUAAAUCAGCCCAUAAAUCAAAAAAUUUACCAGCCCAUGAAUCAGGACCUGAAAAUUUACGCAUUUUUCUCUACGCUGAUCACAAGGAUAGACCAGCCCAUAAAUCAAAAAAUUUACGCUGAAGAUUAGUCGAAAAAUAACGUUCAACUAAAGACCCUUAAUCAGAAAGGCUUAUUGUCUAAGCAUAUAUAUUCCAUGUGUGAUGAAUCUAGUUUGAAUACAGGCGAGUCAUUGGAGGCCAGAUGCUACAAAAUAAUAACGACUGGCGUGAUACAAUUAGGCCUAUGGUUGUGAUUGUAAUCUAAAUUAAAAGUGAUUUGUGUCUUUAAUGUGUCUUAAUAUGUAUUUUGUGAUUGUGAUGAUAAAAACUAUCAGUUUGUUGUUUCUCUACCUAGAGGCUAGAUGAUUAGCCAAUUUACGUGCAUAAUUAUUUAGAAAUAAUUAGUCUGUUAUUCUUUGGGACUAACAACAGUAAAAUAGACCUACAAAGGAGAAAGGGUGUUUAAACACAUGAACUUGGGUCAAUUAUCACGUAGUAGUUUGUGAACUUGGGUCAAUUAUUGUAAUCUGUAAUAUAUAGUAUUAUUUAAUAUAUAUAUAUAUAAUAAAAUAGAACAUAAUUUUAUAUAUAUAUAACACAGAAAUUAUUAAUAAAUAAAUUCGAAUCCUUUGAAUUCACAAAGUCUUCUUAAAGUAAAUUUAUUCCCUCACUGGUGCUAAGGAUUAAUUGAAUAAUUGAUUUCUAAGAUAAAACGAAUUUUCAGUUCUUAAUUAGAAGCACUUCAAAAUUAAGAACACUUUGAACUAAUAUUUAUGUUAUGUACUAAAAUUACAUGAAUAAUGAUGAUAACGCAUGCAUAAAGUAAACUUGAAAAAGGAAGAAAAUUCUUAC
rnacentral:lncRNA from 1 species